ACAGGAAGCAGCUUGCUGCUUUGCUGACGAGUGGCGGACGGGUGAGUAAUGUCUGGGAAACUGCCUGAUGGAGGGGGAUAACUACUGGAAACGGUAGCUAAUACCGCAUAACGUCGCAAGACCAAAGAGGGGGACCUUCGGGCCUCUUGCCAUCGGAUGUGCCCAGAUGGGAUUAGCUUGUUGGUGGGGUAACGGCUCACCAAGGCGACGAUCCCUAGCUGGUCUGAGAGGAUGACCAGCCACACUGGAACUGAGACACGGUCCAGACUCCUACGGGAGGCAGCAGUGGGGAAUAUUGCACAAUGGGCGCAAGCCUGAUGCAGCCAUGCCGCGUGUAUGAAGAAGGCCUUCGGGUUGUAAAGUACUUUCAGCGGGGAGGAAGGGAGUAAAGUUAAUACCUUUGCUCAUUGACGUUACCCGCAGAAGAAGCACCGGCUAACUCCGUGCCAGCAGCCGCGGUAAUACGGAGGGUGCAAGCGUUAAUCGGAAUUACUGGGCGUAAAGCGCACGCAGGCGGUUUGUUAAGUCAGAUGUGAAAUCCCCGGGCUCAACCUGGGAACUGCAUCUGAUACUGGCAAGCUUGAGUCUCGUAGAGGGGGGUAGAAUUCCAGGUGUAGCGGUGAAAUGCGUAGAGAUCUGGAGGAAUACCGGUGGCGAAGGCGGCCCCCUGGACGAAGACUGACGCUCAGGUGCGAAAGCGUGGGGAGCAAACAGGAUUAGAUACCCUGGUAGUCCACGCCGUAAACGAUGUCGACUUGGAGGUUGUGCCCUUGAGGCGUGGCUUCCGGAGCUAACGCGUUAAGUCGACCGCCUGGGGAGUACGGCCGCAAGGUUAAAACUCAAAUGAAUUGACGGGGGCCCGCACAAGCGGUGGAGCAUGUGGUUUAAUUCGAUGCAACGCGAAGAACCUUACCUGGUCUUGACAUCCACAGAACUUUCCAGAGAUGGAUUGGUGCCUUCGGGAACUGUGAGACAGGUGCUGCAUGGCUGUCGUCAGCUCGUGUUGUGAAAUGUUGGGUUAAGUCCCGCAACGAGCGCAACCCUUAUCCUUUGUUGCCAGCGGUCCGGCCGGGAACUCAAAGGAGACUGCCAGUGAUAAACUGGAGGAAGGUGGGGAUGACGUCAAGUCAUCAUGGCCCUUACGACCAGGGCUACACACGUGCUACAAUGGCGCAUACAAAGAGAAGCGACCUCGCGAGAGCAAGCGGACCUCAUAAAGUGCGUCGUAGUCCGGAUUGGAGUCUGCAACUCGACUCCAUGAAGUCGGAAUCGCUAGUAAUCGUGGAUCAGAAUGCCACGGUGAAUACGUUCCCGGGCCUUGUACACACCGCCCGUCACACCAUGGGAGUGGGUUGCAAAAGAAGUAGGUAGCUUAACCUUCGGGAGGGCGCUUACCACUUUGUGAUUCAUGACUGGGGUGAAGUCGUAACAAGGUAACCGUAGGGGAACCUGCGGUUGGAUCACCUCCUUACCUUAAAGAAGC
rnacentral:rRNA from 1 species